UACGGGGGGGGCAAGCGUUGUCCGGAUUUAUUGGGCGUAAAGAGCGUGUAGGCGGCCAUGUAGGUCCGUUGUGAAAACUCGAGGCUCAACCUCGAGACGCCGAUGGAAACCAUGUGGCUAGAGUCCGGAAGAGGAGAGUGGAAUUCCUGGUGUAGCGGUGAAAUGCGCAGAUAUCAGGAAGAACACCCGUGGCGAAGGCGGCUCUCUGGGACGGUACUGACGCUGAGACGCGAAAGCGUGGGGAGCGAACAGG
rnacentral:rRNA from 1 species